CCACGUUUCUUGCCCAGCAUGUCAGAGAGAGCGGCCGGACGGACACGCGCGGCGCGGUGCUUUCAGUUCGUGCUCCAGCUUUUCCGUCUAGUUUAAUGGUUUUUCCUAGUCGUCCUCCGUCCUCCUCAGCUCUGGCUGCCAACCCCAAGAAGAGAACAGCCUUGCCUAGUCACUAGGCCCUAGUGUGCCCAUUGCCUAGGGAAGGAGGAACCCAAGGAGAGGUGCGCGGCUGGUGGCAUGCGAGUGGCAGCGGUGCCGCGGGACUCUUCUCCUCGCUGGCCGUGCGCGCCGUGCCCCGACGGAAUCCAGGUGACACCCUGAUAUUGAUGUGAAGUUUUGUGGAACCUCCUGCAUCCUUAUAUGGUAUUAACAAUAAUUUAAUUGUCUGGGUGAUCCAUUUGAGCAAAUGGAAGGCAACGACCUACCCCCUGGAAACAUGUUGCAAGGGGCUCCCUAUGAUAGUUUAGACUUACAUGGCGACUCUAUGGCAAAACAUGCCCCAAACUCAGGAAAACAGAUCUUCAGCAGCUCCCAGAUGCCGGGGACUUUCACAAUGUCUAUGACCAGGGCUACAGAACCUGAUGACUUUCCUGGGUUUCAGUUCAAAGAACAUGGAAAGAGUGAUGACCACCACCACCACCAAUACCAUAGUCAUCACCAAAAGAACUGCAUGAGUGAUGGUGAAGAACAUGAUAUGGCUGAAGAUGCUACUGAUACCCCAAGUGGAAAAGGCAAGAAGGGCUCUGCAUGGCAUCGGAUGAAGUGGACAGAUUCAAUGGUAAAACUUUUGAUUACAGCAGUGUCUUACACUGGAGAUGAUCAUGGUGCUGAUUCUGGUGGUGGCAGGAGGAACAUUGCAAUAACGCAGAAGAAGGGCAAAUGGAAGGCGAUAUCGAAGGUUAUGGGAGAGAGAGGUUGCCAUGUGUCACCGCAACAGUGCGAGGACAAGUUCAAUGACCUUAACAAGAGAUACAAAAGGCUGAUAGACAUCCUUGGCAUGGGCACUGCUUGCAAUGUUGUGGCUAAUCCAGCACUUCUUGAUAGCAUGAAUCAUCUUUCUGAUAAGAUGAAAGACAAUGCAAAAAAGAUACUUAGCUCAAAGCACUUAUUUUAUGAGGAGAUGUGUUCCUACCACAACAACAACCGUGCAAAUUUGCCUGAAGAUCAUGCACUUCAGCAUUCACUACUGCUUGCCCUUAGAUGUAAAGAGGAGCAUGAUCUUCGGAGAGCAAGUGGAGAUGCUGAUGAAGACGAUCGAAGUGCGGAUUCUGAUUAUGGGGAGAAUGAUGAAGAGCAAUAUCCUGUGCAUACACGCAUGAGGGAGCCCUCAACCACCAAAAGGAAGCGCCACAGAGAUGUGGCUUUGGUCACAUCAAACUCUCAUGAAGGCAGUGAGAGGUCUGAUCCCCAUGAUGUAACAGUGGACAUCAACAAGGCUUUCACAGAUGCAACCAACAUGGUUUUGUUGCAACAGGACUUGGCUUCACAAGCCAUAGAGAUUCAGAAACGUCGCUUGCAGAUUGAAGCAAAGGAACUGGAACUCACAAAGCAACGUCACAAGUGGGAGCGGUUCAGGAAGAAGAAGGACAGGGAGAUAGAAAGAAUGGCACUGGAGAAUGAACAUAUGGUGAUUGAGAACAAACGCUUGGAACUUGAGCUGAGACAUAAGGAGUUAGAGCUAGAGCUUAAGCUGAAAGGCAAGGGGAACCAUCCAUAACUUAAUUCUUGAUCAACACUACAAUAUUUAAGAUGGUAAACAAGCAUCUCUUCCUACCAGCUACUUCGCAGAAGCCCUGAACACUGCUACCCAUCUCCUUAACCACCGGAGGGAGGGCGUGCGGGGGCCCCUGUCGACAGAGGGUGAGGGGCCUUGCCUCCGGAGGGCGCCCGACCACCAGAUGGCACACCGUAGAGGGCUAUGGUGGAGGCAGGGGACUAAGUCUCCAAGGUCACGGUUGAGCUUCUGGAAGAUAAAGGUGGUAGAUUAGAGCAGAACCUGACAACCAUUUCUGUGCGUAUGACUUUUGUUCUGUGUUUUUCUGCCCUGUGUCAUGUACUGGUUGGGCCUCCUGCAUGUUUACCCUUUCUGCGGCAGUAGUAUUGGGCUUGAUGUGAUCUGUAAGACUGUUACUUCCAUCUUGCCCAGUGUUUCAAUUUUUUUCGUCAGCAUGUAUAUCGAGGUGAUGCGAUGA